rnacentral:lncRNA from 1 species
AUUUCGCUGACGCUCCUUUUCCUCUCUCGCAGGCACUCGACAGUCUAUAGAGCAGAAAUAUUGAUUUUUUCUUUCCCCCCUCUCUUCUCUUCUCUCUUAAAACCCGGGCGAGAAUAAAACGAGACAAGCGAUGAAGCCGAGGACGCGGAGGAGAUAAACAUGGGAGACCAUUCCUGACGCGGGGAGGUGGAGGAGAGAUUCAUAAUUUCUCAACGUUCGCGCGUCUGGGUGAAAAAAGAACCUGUUGGAUGUGCUUCGAUUUUCUGGGUAUCGAACCGCAAAACGAGCAGGUAAGUGUCUGCAAAGUGAGCCGCGCUCUCGCCGCAUCAGACACACUCGGCUCCAAAUUGAUAAAUUUCACACGGCUUUAUUUUAUUUUUUAUUUUUCUUUUCUGCACUUUACCCCCCCCACGGUAAUUUCCACUCGGCAACAGCGGCGUGUGAAACGAUGGCGUGCCGGGGGGAACGGUAUACGUCCACCGCGACGCAUAAAUGAAUAAAAAGCCGCAGCUGUCCAAGUGGCUGGAGUUGAUUUGACAGGGAUCAACUUUUAAUGAACAGCCGUGUGCCGGGGAGAAACCAGCCGACGCCCGCUGGGGGCGGCGGCAUUAAAGGUUUAUGAACGAUGGCGGUGUUGGGCGUGAUUGCCGGCGAAGGGCCGCGGCCUCCGGAGGGUUGAAAGCUCGGCGCGUGGCGCCUUCGCCGGGCCCGUGAUCAAAUGCACCAGGACAAGGGGACCAUGUGGGAUCUGGAGAUUACUGAGACGGCCACAGGACUGCUCACGGGCCGAGACGAGGGCGCCGCCCACUCAGCACGGAGAAUGCGCCGGAAACCCGAGAGGUGUGGGAGCUGGGUAGAAGAGGGAAGCCACUGCGCCUCUCACACAAGCGCAGGCCUCCGCCGAUCAGGAGCCAGAAGGCCAUUAAAGGAGCACUUUUUGGGCGUGGCACAACUGGGUUCUCCUGCCGGAACACCUUAAGAGCGCCUUAAACAAAACAGUGGCGGGUUAAAGGCCGUUUGGAUUUCUGAGGGACCGGAACGAGCUGACAUCUCCUUUGAGGUACAAGUACAAGCUCCCUGCGGUUCACCUACGCGGUCUAACAGACAAGAGCGGUUCCUCCGUCACUCCAUGGAAACCUCCGCACCAGGAGACCUCCAUGGAGCCCCUGUGGGGACUUGUGUGGCACAUUUUCUAAUUCAAAGAGGGGAAUAAUAAACAAUGACUACGGCAGUAGCGGCA